rnacentral:pre_miRNA from 1 species
GUAUUACUCACCCCAUCUGGAAAUAUUUGUCAUAUAAAUGGAUGUAUCUAGAUGUAUUUUAGUUAUAGAUACAUUUGAUUUUAUUCAUUUGUGUGACAAGUAAUUCCGGGUGGAGGGAGUAUGUU